rnacentral:rRNA from 1 species
CCUACGGGAGGCUGCAGUGGGGAAUAUUGCACAAUGGGGGAAACCCUGAUGCAGCGACGCCGCGUGGGUGACGAAGUAUUUCGGUAUGUAAAGCUCUAUCAGCAGGGACGAAGAUGACAGUACCCGACUAAGAAGCCCCGGCUAACUACGUGCCAGCAGCCGCGGUAAUACGUAAGGGGCAAGCGGUAUGCGGCUUUACUUGUGGUAAAGGGGGCGUCGGUGGCAUGGCAAGCCAUAAGGUAAAACCCGAGGCUUAACCCCGCGGAUUGCUUUUGAAACUGUCGGGCUGGAGUGCAGGAGUGGCAGGCGGGAGUCCUGGUGUAGCGGUGAAAUGCGUAGAUAUCAGGAGGAACACCGGUGGCGAAGGCGGCCUGCUGGACAGUAACUGACGCUGAGGCUCGAAAGCGUGGGGAGCAAACAGGAUUAGAUACCCCAGUAGUC